ACGGAUAUGAUGAAAUUUGGUAGACAUGUUAGAUUUAGAUUCUAAUGAAGUAAAAUCAUGAGGGUUCGAAUCCCUCUAUCCGUA
rnacentral:tRNA from 1 species